rnacentral:rRNA from 1 species
UACGGAAGGGGCUAGCGUUGUUCGGAAUCACUGGGCGUAAAGGGCGCGUAGGCGGCUUAUAAGUCGGGGUGAAAGCCUGUGGCUCAACCACAGAAUUGCCUUCGAUACUGUGAGAGCUUGAGACCGGAAGAGGUAAGUGGAACUGACGAGUGUAGAGGUGAAAUUCGUAGAUAGUUCGGAGGAACGACCGGUGGCGAAGGCGGCCUGCUGGGCUAUGGCUGACACUGAGGCGCGGACAGCGUGGG